GCGGAAGGCUACAGCCGGUUCUAGGCCAGCCGGGUCGAAAUAGGCAGCUCAGAGCCAGCGAGGGCUACGUGGCAAGCAAGACGCAAAAGACCAGAGAGACAACAACGUAAAAGGAAACAAAAACCAAUGGAUUUCUUCAAAUUAAUAAAGAUCAAAUUUGACUGGGAGAGACCUCCUGAAAAUCUUGACCAUAGACAUGAAGGAAGAAACAGAAAAACUACAAGACAGGUGACAUAUAGGCCGAUCCCUCUACAUGGGAGCAGCUCUGAGACUAGGUUCCAUGUAGUCUGGGAUGGCACUGAACUUGCUAUCCAUCAGCUGUGCGUCUGAGGAUGAUGCUGAAUUUCUGAUGCUCCUGCCUCCACCUCCUCGGUGCUGGGAUUACAGCAGCCUGCCAAUAUGUCCAGGUCACGUGGGCUGGGGGCCAAAGCCAGGGCUUUGUGCUGCCAGGUGAACACCACCAACUGAGCGAUAUCCCCAGCACCCUUGCACUGACCUCAUCUAAUAUCCACUGAGCAACUACUGGGAUGCAGCACUGUGAUCAAGAGGAAGAGCAGGACCACAUCCUCAGUUUCCCACAGCAACUAUGGCAUCCCCCUUCACAUAAUGCCGGAUGGUAUUUCCAGGGUUCGCCUAUGGGCUCCCUGGACAGAUUUUACCCACAAAGAAGCCUUGCAGUGUUCUGCCAGACUACGAGGAAAGUACUGUUGCCCGGGGUCGGGCUCACUUUGCACUGCUCAUGGGCAUCUCAUCCCUCUCUGGAGAAACAGUAACUAGAACUGGUACAUUUUAUUUUCAAAAGAGAAAAAAAGUUUAGUUCAUCAACGUUUUUUUUAUUUU